rnacentral:rRNA from 1 species
GAUGAACGCUGGCGGCGUGCCUAAUACAUGCAAGUCGAGCGAACAGACGAGGAGCUUGCUCCUCUGACGUUAGCGGCGGACGGGUGAGUAACACGUGGAUAACCUACCUAUAAGACUGGGAUAACUUCGGGAAACCGGAGCUAAUACCGGAUAAUAUAUUGAACCGCAUGGUUCAAUAGUGAAAGACGGUUUUGCUGUCACUUAUAGAUGGAUCCGCGCCGCAUUAGCUAGUUGGUAAGGUAACGGCUUACCAAGGCAACGAUGCGUAGCCGACCUGAGAGCGCGAUCGGCCACACUGGAACUGAGACACGGUCCAGACUCCUACGGGAGGCAGCAGUAGGGAAUCUUCCGCAAUGGGCGAAAGCCUGACGGAGCAACGCCGCGUGAGUGAUGAAGGUCUUCGGAUCGUAAAACUCUGUUAUUAGGGAAGAACAAAUGUGUAAGUAACUAUGCACGUCUUGACGGUACCUAAUCAGAAAGCCACGGCUAACUACGUG